AAAGACUUCGGGAUAGUUUUGGACCUUAAGGCCCAAUGGGCUUCGAACGUCAAGCCCAUUAACUUAAGUUGUAUGACAAUUUAAUGAAUAAAGAUUCAUUAAGGCCCAAAAGCCCAAAACUCCCUAAAUGGCCGGCCAUAGUGUGAUGAAUUAGGGUUUUGGUUAUUUAGGUCACUUAAAGAAGUGACUAUAUAAAUGACUUUAUAGCCAAAUAUUCAUUAAGAUUAUUAAGGGUUUAUUUUGGGGGAAAAUUGGUGAGAAUUGUCUCUCCAUUUUCUCUCUAAAGAAGCUAACACCUUGGAGUGUACAUCUAGCAAUCCUACUACUCCAAGGUCACUCAUUUCUUCUACAAUCAAACCUUGGUGAAGAGACUUAGAGGUUCCCUAUUUUGGGAACUUGGAGAAACCUAUUCUUCCAUCCAAAUCCAUGGAUCUAAGAAGCAAGGAAUGAAGGCCCUAUCUCUUUGGGUGAUUAGCCUUUGCUUAUGCAAAGAGGAAUCUACAAAGGUAUUAAUUUCAACUCACUUUGUUUUUGAGUUGAUUAUUGGUUCACCAAUCUACUAGGCUUUGAAUUUCAUGGUAAUGUUUUGUUUUUGAGUGCAUGUAAGCAUGAUUCCGCCUUUAAUUGUUAAUUGCAUGCUAUAUGAUGUUGCUCAAAUGAACAUGUUUUUCAAAAUAAAUUCUUCAAGUGGUAUCAGAGCCUAGGUCUAGUAGUCGGUGAAUCCUUUUGGGUUUUGUAGUUCAUAAGUUUAUGAUUUAAAAGUUGUAAUUGUUACAAGCUUUAUUCUUGCUUCUUUGAAUGUAAAUUUUGUUUGAAAAUUUGCCAUCUCAAAUGUUGUAGAUGUAGUUCAUAUGAGCAUGAAUAUUGGAGCUAAAAUUUGGUGUCAUGAUUUUGGGGAUUUU
rnacentral:lncRNA from 1 species